GGUUAAGCGACUAAGCGUACACGGUGGAUGCCCUGGCAGUCAGAGGCGAUGAAGGACGUGCUAAUCUGCGAUAAGCGCCGGUAAGGUGAUAUGAACCGUUAUAACCGGCGAUUUCCGAAUGGGGAAACCCAGUGUGACUCGUCACACUAUCAUUAACUGAAUCCAUAGGUUAAUGAGGCGAACCGGGGGAACUGAAACAUCUAAGUACCCCGAGGAAAAGAAAUCAACCGAGAUUCCCCCAGUAGCGGCGAGCGAACGGGGAGGAGCCCAGAGCCUGAAUCAGCAUGUGUGUUAGUGGAAGCGUCUGGAAAGGCGCGCGAUACAGGGUGACAGCCCCGUACACAAAAGCGCAUGUGCUGUGAGCUCGAUGAGUAGGGCGGGACACGUGGUAUCCUGUCUGAAUAUGGGGGGACCAUCCUCCAAGGCUAAAUACUCCUGACUGACCGAUAGUGAACCAGUACCGUGAGGGAAAGGCGAAAAGAACCCCGGCGAGGGGAGUGAAAAAGAACCUGAAACCGUGUACGUACAAGCAGUGGGAGCACCCUUUGGGGUGUGACUGCGUACCUUUUGUAUAAUGGGUCAGCGACUUAUAUUCUGUAGCAAGGUUAACCGAAUAGGGGAGCCGGAGGGAAACCGAGUCUUAAUUGGGCGUUAAGUUG
rnacentral:rRNA from 1 species